ACCAGCACCUCGAGUGGUCAGGAGGUUUAUUGGGCCUAAAGCAUCCGUAGCCGGUUGCAUAAGUUUUCGGUUAAAUCUAUGCGCUCAACGUAUAGGCCGCCGAAAAUACUGUGCAGCUAGGGAGUGGGAGAGGUACACGGUACUCAAUAGGAAGGGGUAAAAUCCUUUGAUCUAUUGAUGACCACCUGUGGCGAAGGCGGUGUACCAGAACACGUUCGACGGUGAGGGAUGAAAGCUGGGGGAGCAAACCGGA
rnacentral:rRNA from 1 species